GGGAAUCUUCCGCAAUGGACGAAAGUCUGACGGAGCAACGCCGCGUGAGUGAAGACGGCCUUCGGGUUGUAAAGCUCUGUGAUCCGGGACGAAAGAGCCUUGGGUAAAUAGCCUAAGGAAGUGACGGUACCGGAAAAGCAAGCCACGGCUAACUACGUGCCAGCAGCCGCGGUAAUACGUAGGUGGCAAGCGUUGUCCGGAAUUAUUGGGCGUAAAGCGCGCGCAGGCGGCUUCCUAAGUCCAUCUUAAAAGUGCGGGGCUUAACCCCGUGAUGGGAUGGAAACUGGGAAGCUGGAGUAUCGGAGAGGAAAGUGGAAUUCCUAGUGUAGCGGUGAAAUGCGUAGAGAUUAGGAAGAACACCGGUGGCGAAGGCGACUUUCUGGACGAAAACUGACGCUGAGGCGCGAAAGCGUGGGGAGCAAA
rnacentral:rRNA from 1 species